UGUAACACGUGGAUAACCUGACCUAAGGUGGAGAAUAACCCCGGGAAACUGGGGAUAAUACUCCAUAGAUUAGAGACACUGGAAUGUUCUCUAGUUGAAAGCUCCGGCGCCUUAGGAUGGAUCUGCGGUCGAUUAGGUUGUUGUUGGGGUAACGGCCCAACAAGCCUGUAAUCGAUACGGGUUGUGGGAGCAAGAGCCCGGAGAUGGAAUCUGAGACACGAUUCCAGGCCCUACGGGGCGCAGCAGGCGCGAAAACUUUACAAUGCAGGAAACUGUGAUAAGGGAACCCCGAGUGCCCGUAUACGCGGGCUGUCCAGGUGUUUAAAACGCAUCUGAAGAAAGGGCCGGGCAAGACCGGUGCCAGCCGCCGCGGUAAUACCGGCGGCUCGAGUGGUGGCCACUAUUAUUGGGCUUAAAGCGUCCGUAGCUGGACUCCUAAGUCUCUUGGGAAAUCCGCCGGCUUAACCGGCGGGCGUCUAGGAGAUACUGGGAGUCUAGGGACCGGGAGAGGUGAGAGGUACUCCGGGGGUAGGAGUGAAAUCCUGUAAUCCCCGGGGGACCACCGAUGGCGAAGGCAUCUCACCAGAACGGCUCCGACAGUGAGGGACGAAAGCUGGGGGAGCGAACCGGAUUAGAUACCCGGGUAGUCCCAGCCGUAAACUAUGCGCGUUAGGUGUACCGGUGACCACGAGUCACUGGGUGCCGAAGGAAACCGUGAAACGUGCCGCCUGG
rnacentral:rRNA from 1 species